UCGUAACAAGGUCUCCGUUGGUGAACCAGCGGAGGGAUCAUUACCGAGUUUACAACUCCCAAACCCCAAUGUGAACGUUACCAAUCUGUUGCCUCGGCGGGAUUCUCUUGCCCCGGGCGCGUCGCAGCCCCGGAUCCCAUGGCGCCCGCCGGAGGACCAACUCCAAACUCUUUUCUCUCUCCGUCGCGGCUCCCGUCGCGGCUCUGUUUUAUUUUUGCUCUGAGCCUUUCUCGGCGACCCUAGCGGGCGUCUCGAAAAUGAAUCAAAACUUUCAACAACGGAUCUCUUGGUUCUGGCAUCGAUGAAGAACGCAGCGAAAUGCGAUAAGUAAUGUGAAUUGCAGAAUUCAGUGAAUCAUCGAAUCUUUGAACGCACAUUGCGCCCGCCAGUAUUCUGGCGGGCAUGCCUGUCCGAGCGUCAUUUCAACCCUCGAACCCCUCCGGGGGGUCGGCGUUGGGGAUCGGCCCCUCACCGGGCCGCCCCCGAAAUACAGUGGCGGUCUCGCCGCAGCCUCUCAUGCGCAGUAGUUUGCACACUCGCACCGGGAGCGCGGCGCGGCCACAGCCGUAAAACACCCCAAAUUUUCUGAAAUGUUGACCUCGGAUCAGGUAGGAAUACCCGCUGAACUUAAGCAUAUC
rnacentral:misc_RNA from 1 species